rnacentral:misc_RNA from 1 species
UCCGGCUUAUCACCGGCAGUCCCCCUAGAGUGCCCAACUAAAUGAUGGCAACUAAGGGCGAGGGUUGCGCUCGUUGCGGGACUUAACCCAACAUCUCACGACACGAGCUGACGACAGCCAUGCACCACCUGUGAAGGCGCCCCGAAGGGAGACCGUGUUUCCACGGUUGUCACCUACAUGUCAAGCCCAGGUAAGGUUCUUCGCGUUGCGUCGAAUUAAACCACAUGCUCCGCUGCUUGUGCGGGUCCCCGUCAAUUCCUUUGAGUUUUAGCCUUGCGGCCGUACUCCCCAGGCGGGGCACUUAAUGCGUUAGCGCCGGCACGGGGGGAGUCGACACCUCCCACACCUAGUGCCCAUCGUUUACAGCGUGGACUAC